CCCUUAGAUGUCCUGGGCCGCACGCGCGCUACACUGAGUGUCUGAGAUAUGAGGCAUGCCUGGUCCGGCAAGGUCUAGGUAAUCACGAAAAGGCACAUCAUGCUUGGGAUUGAUUAUUGCAAAUUUUAAUCAUGAACGAGGAAUUCCUAGUAAGUGCAAGUCAACAGCUUGCGUUGAUUACGUCCCUGCCCUUUGUACACACCGCCCGUCGCUCCUACCGAUUGAGUGGUCCGGUGAGGCUUUGGGAUCUGAGCGGAAAGAGCGUUUCGCUGUUUCUGCUCGGAAAACUCAGUCGAACCUUAUCAUUUAGAGGAAGGAGAAGUCGUAACA
rnacentral:rRNA from 1 species